rfam:Clostridium clostridioforme CAG:132 genomic scaffold, scf166
AAUAAACCGUAGAGAAAGAGGAGUAAGCUAUCAAAGCUUUAACACAGAGAGCCGCAGGCGGUGGGAUUGCGGUAUAGGGCUGGCAGCUGAAUGGACUUUUGAGGGCGGUCUUGAAGGAUUGUAUCAUCUGUAGGGACCGACGGAUUCCGCAACCGUUAUACAUGCGGCGCAUAUGUUGGUAUGUGUAAAGUGGACUUUUUAGUCAAUUUGAGUGGCACCGCGGAUUUCAUUCGUCUCAAUC